UGGUGGAGUGAUUUGUCUGGUUUAUUCCGUUAACGAACGAGACCUCGGCCUACUAAAUAGUACUGCUUAUGGAAACAUAGGUAGAGACUUCUUAGAGGGACAUUUCGGGUUUACCGGAAGGAAGUUCGAGGCAAUAACA
rnacentral:rRNA from 1 species